AAAUGCGAUAAGUAAUGUGAAUUGCAGAAUUCAGUGAAUCAUCGAAUCUUUGAACGCAUCUUGCGCUCCUUGGUAUUCCUUGGAGCAUGCCUGUUUGAGUAUCAUGAAAUCUUCAAAGUAAAUCUUUUGUUAACUCAAUUGGUUUCUACUUUGGUAUUGGAGGUCUUUGCAGCUUCACACCUGCUCCUCUUUGUUCAUUAGCUGGAUCUCAGUGUUAUGCUUGGUUCCACUCGGCGUGAUAAGUUAUCUAUCGCUGAGGACACUGUAAAAGGUGGCCAAGGUAAAUGCAGAUGAACCGCUUCUAAUAGUCCAUUGACUUGGACAAUACUUUUAUGAUCUGAUCUCAAAUCAGGUAGGACUACCCGCUGAACUUAAGC
rnacentral:misc_RNA from 1 species